GUGCAGAGACAGCGGCGGCUUUCUCAAUCCUCAGAGCUUCUCUCUUCUCGGCCUUCAUAUCUCUUGAGUAACCAUGAUGGUUGUGGUCUCAAACUAAAGAAACGAGAAAAUGAAGGCUGUUGCAACUAGUGCUUGUCGGACUAUCUUGCAAUCAAGAGCUGUUAUUGUUGGUCGUUUGCAUACGAAUUUCUGGAAAUAUAAUUCGGGCUUUGGUUUUCUGUUAAACGUUUAGGCAAAUGGGCAAAAUGACAAUUUGCGUGAUUUAGUUUUCCUGCCAGUAUGUUUUCAGGCAUGAAAACAGGGAGAAAAUAAACGGCAGCAUAGUGUUUUGUACAGAAUCUCAUGUCCAAAUCUGCUAGUCCUCCAGCGCUUGUUCCAUGUUGCAGGCAUCUUGAAGUUGAACUACAACUCUUUUGGUGUUUGCAAUUGUACUAUGCUAUAAAAAGGUAGUUACGACCAACUAGUUUCUCCUUUGAUCAGCACUAAAAAGGGCUCAAAAAUAGAUGCAAAUUUUCUUUUAAAGAUCAAAAUGGUAUUGAAAUGGAAUUGAAUCUGCAUUUUCACAUUUGCAACAUUAUAGGCAGAGUCAUCAUGAACUUGUAUUGUUAGUGCUGCAGCUUGACUGUGCGUUUAAAAGUUCCUAAAUCAGAGAACAUUUUGGAGGCUUUUGCCAUUUGAAUCUUACGAACUCCCCAAGAAAUAAAUUCUGCAGAAGAUUCAA